UUAAGCGACUAAGCGUACACGGUGGAUGCCCUGGCAGUCAGAGGCGAUGAAGGACGUGCUAAUCUGCGAUAAGCGUCGGUAAGGUGAUAUGAACCGUUAUAACCGGCGAUUUCCGAAUGGGGAAACCCAGUGUGAUUCGUCACACUAUCAUUAACUGAAUCCAUAGGUUAAUGAGGCGAACCGGGGGAACUGAAACAUCUAAGUACCCCGAGGAAAAGAAAUCAACCGAGAUUCCCCCAGUAGCGGCGAGCGAACGGGGAGCAGCCCAGAGCCUGAAUCAGUGUGUGUGUUAGUGGAAGCGUCUGGAAAGGCGCGCGAUACAGGGUGACAGCCCCGUACACAAAAAUGCACAUGCUGUGAGCUCGAUGAGUAGGGCGGGACACGUGGUAUCCUGUCUGAAUAUGGGGGGACCAUCCUCCAAGGCUAAAUACUCCUGACUGACCGAUAGUGAACCAGUACCGUGAGGGAAAGGCGAAAAGAACCCCGGCGAGGGGAGUGAAAAAGAACCUGAAACCGUGUACGUACAAGCAGUGGGAGCACAGAGCAAUCUGUGUGACUGCGUACCUUUUGUAUAAUGGGUCAGCGACUUAUAUUCUGUAGCAAGGUUAACCGAAUAGGGGAGCCGAAGGGAAACCGAGUCUUAACUGGGCGUUAAGUUGCAGGGUAUAGACCCGAAACCCGGUGAUCUAGCCAUGGGCAGGUUGAAGGUUGGGUAACACUAACUGGAGGACCGAACCGACUAAUGUUGAAAAAUUAGCGGAUGACUUGUGGCUGGGGGUGAAAGGCCAAUCAAACCGGGAGAUAGCUGGUUCUCCCCGAAAGCUAUUUAGGUAGCGCCUCGUGAAUUCAUCUCCGGGGGUAGAGCACUGUUUCGGCAAGGGGGUCAUCCCGACUUACCAACCCGAUGCAAACUGCGAAUACCGGAGAAUGUUAUCACGGGAGACACACGGCGGGUGCUAACGUCCGUCGUGAAGAGGGAAACAACCCAGACCGCCAGCUAAGGUCCCAAAGUCAUGGUUAAGUGGGAAACGAUGUGGGAAGGCCCAGACAGCCAGGAUGUUGGCUUAGAAGCAGCCAUCAUUUAAAGAAAGCGUAAUAGCUCACUGGUCGAGUCGGCCUGCGCGGAAGAUGUAACGGGGCUAAACCAUGCACCGAAGCUGCGGCAGCGACGCUGAUGCGUUGUUGGGUAGGGGAGCGUUCUGUAAGCCUGCGAAGGUGUGCUGUGAGGCAUGCUGGAGGUAUCAGAAGUGCGAAUGCUGACAUAAGUAACGAUAAAGCGGGUGAAAAGCCCGCUCGCCGGAAGACCAAGGGUUCCUGUCCAACGUUAAUCGGGGCAGGGUGAGUCGACCCCUAAGGCGAGGCCGAAAGGCGUAGUCGAUGGGAAACAGGUUAAUAUUCCUGUACUUGGUGUUACUGCGAAGGGGGGACGGAGAAGGCUAUGUUGGCCGGGCGACGGUUGUCCCGGUUUAAGCGUGUAGGCUGGUUUUCCAGGCAAAUCCGGAAAAUCAAGGCUGAGGCGUGAUGACGAGGCACUACGGUGCUGAAGCAACAAAUGCCCUGCUUCCAGGAAAAGCCUCUAAGCAUCAGGUAACAUCAAAUCGUACCCCAAACCGACACAGGUGGUCAGGUAGAGAAUACCAAGGCGCUUGAGAGAACUCGGGUGAAGGAACUAGGCAAAAUGGUGCCGUAACUUCGGGAGAAGGCACGCUGAUAUGUAGGUGAAGUCCCUCGCGGAUGGAGCUGAAAUCAGUCGAAGAUACCAGCUGGCUGCAACUGUUUAUUAAAAACACAGCACUGUGCAAACACGAAAGUGGACGUAUACGGUGUGACGCCUGCCCGGUGCCGGAAGGUUAAUUGAUGGGGUUAGCGCAAGCGAAGCUCUUGAUCGAAGCCCCGGUAAACGGCGGCCGUAACUAUAACGGUCCUAAGGUAGCGAAAUUCCUUGUCGGGUAAGUUCCGACCUGCACGAAUGGCGUAAUGAUGGCCAGGCUGUCUCCACCCGAGACUCAGUGAAAUUGAACUCGCUGUGAAGAUGCAGUGUACCCGCGGCAAGACGGAAAGACCCCGUGAACCUUUACUAUAGCUUGACACUGAACAUUGAGCCUUGAUGUGUAGGAUAGGUGGGAGGCUUUGAAGUGUGGACGCCAGUCUGCAUGGAGCCG
rnacentral:rRNA from 1 species